rnacentral:lncRNA from 1 species
CUUUCUCUCUGUUUCAUUCUCAUUUGCAUUAUCUUCUUUCCCCAACAAUCCUUCUCAUGUGGCUCCUGCAACCACAGGAAGGGUGGAAAACCCUCCAUUAAACCCCCUGUAACUGUUCCCAAGCUACCCGUUCCUCCAGUGACUGUUCCCAAGCUACCCGUUCCUCCAGUGACUGUCCCUAAGCUUCCAGUUCCUCCGGUGACAGUUCCGAAGCUACCUGUUCCUCCAGUGACCGUACCUAAGCUUCCAGUUCCUCCGGUGACAGUCCCAAAGCUACCUGUACCUCCAGUGACCGUCCCAGAACUACCACUUCCUCCGGUAGGAGGGCUACCCAUACCUCCGGUGGGAGGGCUACCCAUACCUCCGGUGGGAGGGCUACCCAUACCUCCGGUGGGAGGGCUACCCAUACCUCCGGUUGGAGGCCUACCCACAUUGCCACUGCCACCAUUGCCGAUUGUGGGUCCUCUUCUUCCUCCGGGGACAAACCCUCCUACUCCAGGAGGAAAAGAUUGCCCUCCACCCCCGGGUAGCCAUAAGCCUCCAUCAGGCACUGGGAAGGCGAC